UUGAAACUGACCCAAUGAACCAACACCCAAACCAACCCAAUUACAUACCAACUUCCCCAACCCAAAUGCUUUUUAUAUCCUCUUCUUUAUUAACAACAAAAUAACCGACAAAACACAACACACACUAAACAAACGCAACAAUAAUGGCAAAACCCAUUAGUUGAUCCAACCCGAUACAAAACCCGAUCCUCACUGUCAAACCCCAACGUCGUCGUUGAUGCGAAGGGGUGUGAGUGGCAAAAGAAGAAUGUUGCAAGAACCUUCUAGAAUUUGUCUAGGUGGAGCGAGCUGUGUGUUUCAAGUGCAAGAUCCCAGUAUGAGUGCACCCCGUGGUAGCUAAGCUUGUGUGGUGGGAGUUUGAUUUUGAGGUAAUGGUAGGAUCCAAUGUUUGGAGUAGAUUCCAGACCUCCUCUUAUCUUACUUUGUCUUUAUUUAUUUUCAAAGACAAUUUAUGUAUUUCAGAUAUUUUGUAUUGUACUAGAUUAUUUUUUAAAAUUAUGACACUUGGUCUUGGGGA